rnacentral:rRNA from 1 species
CUACGGGGCGCUGCAGUGGGGAAUAUUGGACAAUGGGGGAAACCCUGAUCCAGCAAUGCCGCGUGUGUGAAGAAGGCCUUAGGGUUGUAAAGCACUUUCAGUAGUGAGGAAAAGUUUAAGGCUAAUACCCUUGAACCCUGACGUUAACUACAGAAGAAGCACCGGCUAACUUCGUGCCAGCAGCCGCGGUAAUACGAAGGGUGCAAGCGUUAAUCGGAUUUACUGGGCGUAAAGCGCGCGUAGGCGGUUUGAUAAGUCGGAUGUGAAAGCCCCGGGCUCAACCUGGGAAUUGCAUUCGAUACUGUCAGGCUAGAGUAUGGUAGAGGGAAGUGGAAUUCCACAUGUAGCGGUGAAAUGCGUAGAUAUGUGGAGGAACACCAGUGGCGAAGGCGACUUCCUGGCCCAAUACUGACGCUGAGGUGCGAAAGCGUGGGGAGCAAACAGGAUUAGAUACCCCUGUAGUC